GACGAACGCUGGCGGCGUGCUUAACACAUGCAAGUCGUACGGUAAGGCCCUUUCGGGGGUACACGAGUGGCGAACGGGUGCGUAACACGUGAGUAACCUUCCCACAACUUUGGGAUAACGCUAGGAAACUGGUGCUAAUACUGGAUAUGUGCUCCUGCUGCAUGGUGGGGGUUGGAAAGCUCCGGCGGUUGUGGAUGGACUCGCGGCCUAUCAGCUUGUUGGUGGGGUAGUGGCCUACCAAGGCGGCGACGGGUAGCCGGCCUGAGAGGGUGACCGGCCACAUUGGGACUGAGAUACGGCCCAGACUCCUACGGGAGGCAGCAGGGGGGAAUAUUGCACAAGGGGCGCAAGCCGGAUGCAGCAACGCCGCGGGCGGGAUGACGGCCUUCGGGUUGUAAACCGAUUUCAGCAGGGACGAAGCUUUUUGUGACGGUACCUGCAGAAGAAGCACCGGCUAACUACGUG
rnacentral:rRNA from 1 species